GAGUUUGAUUCUGGCUCAGGAUGAACGCGGCGGCGUGCUUAACACAUGCAAGUCGAACGAACGACUAUUAACAGAACCUUUCGGGGCGAAGAAUAUAGAAGUUAGUGGCGGACGGGUGCGUAACGCGUGGGUAAUCUGCCUUUGUCAAAGGAAUAACUAUUCGAAAGAAUAGCUAAAACCGUAUAACAUAUUAAUAGGGCAUCCUAAUAAUAUCAAAACGAUAGUGGACAAAGAUGAGCCCGCGUCUGAUUAGCUAGUUGGUGAGAUAAAAGCCCACCAAGGCAACGAUCAGUAGCCGACCUGAGAGGGUGAACGGCCACAUUGGAACUGAGACACGGUCCAAACUCCUACGGGAGGCAGCAGUGGGGAAUAUUGCACAAUGGGGGGAACCCUGAUGCAGCAACGCCGCGUGAGUGAAGAAGGCAUUCGUGUCGUAAAACUCUGUAGUAGGGGAAGAAAGAAAUGACA
rnacentral:rRNA from 1 species